rnacentral:rRNA from 1 species
GACGAACGCUGGCGGCGUGCUUAACACAUGCAAGUCGAACGGUAAGGCCCUUCGGGGUACACGAGUGGCGAACGGGUGAGUAACACGUGGGUGAUCUGCCCUGCACUUCGGGAUAAGCCUGGGAAACUGGGUCUAAUACCGGAUAGGACCCUGGGAUGCAUGUCCUGGGGUGGGAAGCUUUUGCGGUGUGGGAUGGGCCCGCGGCCUCUCAGCUUGUUGGUGGGGUGAUGGCCUACCGAGGCGACGACGGGUAGCCGGCCUGAGAGGGUGACCGGCAACACUGGGACUGGGAUACGGCCCAGACUCGUACGGGAGGCAGCAGUGGGGAAUAUUGCACAAUGGGCGCAAGCCUGAUGCAGCGACGCCGCGUGAGGGAUGACGGCCUUCGGGUUGUAAACCUCUUUCAGCACCGACGAAGCGCAAGUGACGGUAGGUGCAGAAGAGGGACCGGCCAACUACGUGCCAGCCGCCGCCGUAA